UACGUAGGGUCCGAGCGUUGUCCGGAAUUAUUGGGCGUAAAGGGCUCGUAGGCGGUUUGUCGCGUCGGGAGUGAAAACUCAGGGCUCAACCCUGAGCGUGCUUCCGAUACGGGCAGACUAGAGGUAUGCAGGGGAGAACGGAAUUCCUGGUGUAGCGGUGGAAUGCGCAGAUAUCAGGAGGAACACCGGUGGCGAAGGCGGUUCUCUGGGCAUUACCUGACGCUGAGGAGCGAAAGCUAGGGGAGCAAACGGG
rnacentral:rRNA from 1 species